AAUGACUCUCGGCAACGGAUAUCUCGGCUCUCGCAUCGAUGAAGAACGUAGCGAAAUGCGAUACUUGGUGUGAAUUGCAGAAUCCCGUGAACCAUCGAGUCUUUGAACGCAAGUUGCGCCCGAAGCCUUUUGGCCGAGGAAACGUUUGCCUGGGCGU
rnacentral:rRNA from 1 species